rnacentral:rRNA from 1 species
AGUGGAGCCUGCGGCUUAAUUUGACUCAACACGGGAAACCUCACCAGGCCCGGACACCGGAAGGAUUGACAGAUUGAGAGCUCUUUCUUGAUUCGGUGGGUGGUGGUGCAUGGCCGUUCUUAGUUGGUGGAGCGAUUUGUCUGGUUAAUUCCGAUAACGAACGAGACUCUAGCCUGCUAACUAGGCGUAUUUCGACAUCCCAAAGGCCCGCCGGUUCGGGGUUUCCACCCAGUUCCGCGCGCGGUUUUUACUGUCGGCGUACAAACAAUUCUUCUUAGAGGGACAGGCGGCUCUUAGCCGCACGAGAUUGAGCAAUAACAGGUCUGUGAUGCCCUUAGAUGUUCUGGGCCG